rnacentral:rRNA from 1 species
UUACUUGGAUAACCGUGGUAAUUCUAGAGCUAAUACAUAGCUAAAAACCCCGACUUCGGGAGGGGUGUAUUUAUUAGAUAAAAAACCAAUGCCCUUCGGGGCUCCUUGGUGAUUCAUAAUAACUAAACGAAUCGCAUGGCCUUGCGCCGGCGAUGGUUCAUUCAAAUUUCUGCCCUAUCAACUUUCGAUGGUAGGAUAGUGGCCUACCAUGGUGGCAACGGGUAACGGGGAAUUAGGGUUCGAUUCCGGAGAGGGAGCCUGAGAAACGGCUACCACAUCCAAGGAAGGCAGCAGGCGCGCAAAUUACCCAAUCCCGACGCGGGGAGGUAGUGACAAUAAAUACUGAUGUGGAGCUCUUUAGGGUUUCACAAUUGGAAUGAGAAAAAUCUAAACCACUUAACGAGGAACAAUUGGAGGGCAAGUCUGGUGCCAGCAGCCGCGGUAAUUCCAGCUCCAAUAGCGUAUAUAAAGUUGUUGCAGUUAAAAGCUCGUAGUUGAACCUUGGCCUGGCCGGCCGGUCCGCUCACGCGUGCACUGUCGGCCGGCCUUUUCUCUGGGRACGCAUGCCUUCACUGGGKKUGCGGGA